GCCUCGUUAGCUCAGUUGGUAGAGCAGCUGACUCUUAAUCAGCGGGUCCUAGGUUCGAGUCCUAGACGAGGUACCA
rnacentral:tRNA from 3 species